UACAGAGGUCCCGAGCGUUGUUCGGAUUCACUGGGCGUAAAGGGUGCGUAGGUGGUUGGGUAAGUUUGAUGUGAAAGCUCAGGGCUUAACCCUGAAAUGGCACUGAAUACUACUUAACUGGAGGUUUGGAGGGGGGACUGGAAUUCUUGGUGUAGCAGUGAAAUGCGUAGAUAUCAAGAGGAACACCAGUGGCGAAGGCGAGUCCCUGGACAACACCUGACACUGAGGCACGAAAGCUAGGGGAGCAAACAGG
rnacentral:rRNA from 1 species